rnacentral:rRNA from 1 species
GACGAACGCUGGCGGCGUGCCUAAUACAUGCAAGUUGAGCGCUGAAGGUUGGUACUUGUACCGACUGGAUGAGCAGCGAACGGGUGAGUAACGCGUGGGGAAUCUGCCUUUGAGCGGGGGACAACAUUCGGAAACGAAUGCUAAUACCGCAUAAAAACUUUAAACACAAGUUUUAAGUUUGAAAGAUGCAAUUGCAUCACUCAAAGAUGAUCCCGCGUUGUAUUAGCUAGUUGGUGAGGUAAAGGCUCACCAAGGCGAUGAUACAUAGCCGACCUGAGAGGGUGAUCGGCCACAUUGGGACUGAGACACGGCCCAAACUCCUACGGGAGGCAGCAGUAGGGAAUCUUCGGCAAUGGACGAAAGUCUGACCGAGCAACGCCGCGUGAGUGAAGAAGGGUUUCGGAUCGUAAAACUCUGUUGGUAGAGAAGAACGUUGGUGAGAGUGGAAAGCUCAUCAAGUGACGGUAACUACCCAGAAAGGGACGGCUAACUACGUG